AGAGCAUAUUUGGUGGUUGUACGGUAUUGCAGCCUAUUUGAGCUUGUUAACAAGCUUAGCAGAGCAGCACUAACGUGGGUGAUUAAGCUGCGAGGUUUUGAUUUCAGUUUGGUUUUUUGUAAUAAUCGGAAUCAUAAUUAAAAUUCAAUNUUUUCAUUUUUUAGAAUUAGAGGAGAAAUCAAAUUUUAGUUUUAAUUUCGGUUCAAAAAAA
rnacentral:misc_RNA from 1 species